rnacentral:rRNA from 1 species
UACAGAGGGGGCAAGCGUUGUUCGGAAUUACUGGGCGUAAAGGGCGCGUAGGCGGCCUUCUAAGUCGAACGUGAAAUCCCUGGGCUCAACCCAGGAACUGCGUCCGAUACUGGAAGGCUUGAAUCCGGGAGAGGGAUGCGGAAUUCCAGGUGUAGCGGUGAAAUGCGUAGAUAUCUGGAGGAAUACCGGUGGCGAAGGCGGCCUUUUGGGCCUUUCUUGACGCUGAGACGCGAAAGCGUGGGUAGCAAACAGG